ACUCCUUUGCAAGUGCUGCAUAAAGGCAGCUUGAAACCUAUCUGAAAUUGAGAAAACUCUGCUCUCUGACAGGUAGGGGAAUCCAUCCUGGUGCUGAAGGCCUGAGACCCGUGGGCAAGAAGCCUCUCCCACCAAGGAACCCCAGCUGACCCCAAGCCAUUAUUCAGUGUUGACUGUGAGACAGCUGCAUGGAAGGGAGCUGAGGAAGAGCUGCUGGAACUGAGGCAGGCCCGAGAAAUCUACAGCGGGAACAAAGCACUCAUCACCACUGCCACCCUGUGCUAGCCCUGGAACUGGGACUGUGACAGAGUGGGGUUCAGGCUGACAAAAGAAAGAGCCCCACAGAUACAUGGCUAAUUGACUGCUGACAUAGGCACAAAGGCGUUUCAAAGGGGAAAGGAAAUUAUUUUCAAAUGUUGCUGCAGCCAUUACGAAUUCCCCCCCCCCCACGAAAGUGAGCUUCCAUCCACACUUAGAACCACAUGGAAUUUAACUCAAAAUGACUCAGAGGCCUAAAAGUUUUGAAGGACACAUGGGAGAUGUUUCAAACAUGGGAUAAGCAAAGGUUUCCCAGUCCUGAUGUCAAAAAUGUGUCUGCACCUGAGGAAAAGCAAAUUGGACGUUAUCAAAAUUAUUAGCCUUUGGCUCUUGCACAGGUAGCAUUAAAGAACUGUAAGAGAGCCAGUGAGAUGGCUCAGCAGGUAAAAGGUGCUUGCUGCUAAACCUAAUGACCUGGGUUCGAUCCCAGAACCCAGUGGUAGAAAAAAAAAAAAGACCAAAUUCAUAUAAGCUGUCCUCUGACCUCCUCCACAUGUGCUCUGUGAAACACAUGUAUGUCCACUCACUCACUCACUUAUUCACUCACUCAGAUGCACAUGUAUAAAUAAAUAAAUAAUAUAAAUAAAAAUUUUAAGG
rnacentral:lncRNA from 1 species